rnacentral:rRNA from 1 species
GAUUAACGCUGGCGGCGUGCAUAACACAUGCAAGUCGAACGAUGAAACUUAAAUGAUUUCUUCGGAAUGAACUUAAGUGGAUUAGUGGCGGACGGGUGAGUAACGCGUGAGUAACCUGCCUUACACAAGGGGAUAGCCGUUGGAAACGACGAAUAAUACCCUAUGAAACUAUCACUUCGCAUGAAGCGAUAGUCAAAGUGUUAGCGGUGUAAGAUGGACUUGCGUCUGAUUAGCUAGUUGGUGAGAAAAAAGCCCACCAAGGCAACGAUCAGUAGCCGGCUUGAGAGAGUGUACGGCCACAUUGGGACUGAGACACGGCCCAGACUCCUACGGGAGGCAGCAGUGGGGAAUUUUGCACAAUGGGGGAAACCCUGAUGCAGCGACGCCGCGUGAUUUAGAAGGCCUUCGGGUUGUAAAAAUCUUUUGUAUAGGAAGAAAAUGACAGUACUAUACGAAUAAGGUCCGGCUAAUUACGUGCCAGCAGCCGCGGUAAUACGUAAGGACCGAGCGUUGUCCGGAAUCAUUGGGCGUAAAGGGUACGUAGGCGGGUCAUUAAGUUAGAAGUCAAAGGCUAUAGCUCAACUAUAGUAAGCUUCUAAAACUGGCGACCUUGAGUAAUGGAAGGGAAAGUGGAAUUCCUGGUGUAGCGGUGAAAUGCGCAGAUAUCAGGAGGAACACCGAUGGCGAAGGCAGGUUACUGGGCAGUUACUGACGCUGAGGAGCGAAAGCAUGGGUAGCGAACAGGAUUAGAUACCCUGGUAGUCCAUGCCGUAAACGGUGGGCGCUAGGUGUGAGGGUCUUUCUACGACUUUCGUGCCGUAGCUAACGCAUUAAGCGCCCCGCCUGGGGAGUACGGCCGCAAGGCUAAAACUCAAAGGAAUUGACGGGGGCCCGCACAAGCGGCGGAGCAUGUGGAUUAAUUCGAUGCAACGCGAAGAACCUUACCUGGGCUUGACAUACAUCAGAUCGCUGCAGAGAUGUAGUUUCCCUUUGUGGUUGGUGUACAGGUGGUGCAUGGUUGUCGUCAGCUCGUGUCGUGAGAUGUUGGGUUAAGUCCCGCAACGAGCGCAACCCUUGUCUUAUGUUGCCAGCAUUUGGUUGGGGACUCAUGAGAGACUGCCGGGGUUAACUCGGAGGAAGGUGGGGAUGACGUCAAAUCAUCAUGCCCCUUAUGUCCAGGGCUUCACACAUGCUACAAUGGUCGGUACAAUGCGUUGCGACACUGUGAGGUGGAGCGAAUCGCUGAAAGCCGGUCUUAGUUCGGAUUGGGGUCUGCAACUCGACCCCAUGAAGUCGGAGUCGCUAGUAAUCGCAGAUCAGCAAUGCUGCGGUGAAUACGUUCCCGGGCCU